rnacentral:rRNA from 16 species
AAUAUUUUUGAGAAGAUUAAGAUAGCGUUUACAUCAUGAUUUUUCAAAAAUCCGCAUACAAUUGGCGGACACAAAAUUAAAGCACAAAUAAUAGACGAAUCAUAAUCACAUCCAAAAAAGUAAGUUAGGGUUAGACGUGCACUUUC